GACGUAGGGCGCGAGCGUUGUCCGGAAUUAUUGGGCGUAAAGAGCUCGUAGGCGGUUUGUCGCGUCUGCUGUGAAAAACCCGAGGCUCAACCUCGGGCCUGCAGUGGGUACGGGCAGACUAGAGUGCGGUAGGGGAGAUUGGAAUUCCUGGUGUAGCGGUGAAAUGCGCAGAUAUCAGGAGGAACACCGGUGGCGAAGGCGGCUCUCUGGGCCUUACCUGACGCUGAGGAGCGAAAGCGUGGGUAGCGAACAGG
rnacentral:rRNA from 1 species